AUAUAGGACAAUGGGGGGAACCCUGAUCCAGCCAUGCCGCGUGUCUGAAGUAGGUCUUCGGAUUGUAAAGCAAUUCACGUUGGGAGGAAGAGUUGUAGGCUAAUACCUGUCAAUAUUGACGCUACCAACAGUAUACACACUGGCAAACUUCGUGCCAGCAGCCGCGGUAAUACGAACGGUGCAAGCGUUAAUCGGAAUUACUAGGCGUAAAGCGCGCGUAGGUGGUUCGUUUAGUUGGAAGUGAAAGCCCCGGGCUUAACCUGGGAAUUGCUUUCAAAACUGACGAGCUAGAGUACGGUAGAGGGUAGUGGAAUUUCCUGUGUAGCGGUGAAAUGCGUAGAUAUAGGAAGGAACAUCAGUGGCGAAGGCGACUACCUGGACUGAUACUGACACUGAGGUGCGAAAGCGUGGGGAGCAAACAGG
rnacentral:rRNA from 1 species